CUCGGUGUCGUGAGAUGUGGUAAGUCCGCAACGAGCGCAACCCUACUCUCUGUUGCUAUCAGGUAAUGCUGGGCACUCUGAGGGGAACUGCCGGUGGACAAACCGGAGGAAGGUGGGGACGACGUCAAAUCAUCACGGCCCUUAUGUCCAGGGCUACACACGUGCUACAAUGGCCGGUACAAAGAGUUGCGAGACCGCGAGGUGGAGCUAAUCUCAGAAAACCGGUCUCAGUUCGGAUUGGAGUCUGCAACUCGACUCCAUGAAGUUGGAAUCGCUAGUAAUCGUGGAUCAGCACGCUACGGUGAAUACGUUCCCGGGCCUU
rnacentral:rRNA from 1 species